GUAGGUGGCAAGCGUUGUCCGGAAUUAUUGGGCGUAAAGCGCGCGCAGGUGGUCCUUUAAGUCUGAUGUGAAAGCCCCCGGGCUCAACCGGGGAGGGUCAUUGGAAACUGGGGAACUUGAGUGCAGGAGAGGAAAGUGGAAUUCCACGUGUAGCGGUGAAAUGCGUAGAUAUAUGGAGGAACACCAGUGGCGAAGGCGACUUUCUGGCCUGUAACUGACACUGAGGCGCGAAAGCGUGGGGAGCAAACAGGAUUAGAUACCCUGGUAGUCCACGCCGUAAACGAUGAGUGCUAAGUGUUGGGGGGUUUCCGCCCCUCAGUGCUGCAGCUAACGCAUUAAGCACUCCGCCUGGGGAGUACGGUCGCAAAGACUG
rnacentral:rRNA from 1 species